rnacentral:lncRNA from 1 species
GCCCAUACUUGCCUGAAGCCAAGAUGGCGGAAAUUGAAGCUCGUUCUGUAGGUAUAAAACACGCGUGAUUUUUGCGUGGGCUUGUCACGAGGUUCGGAGCAAGCCGAAAGCGUGUUAAAAUAUUUUCACAAGUGUGGAUUCAAAGACCAAGAAAUUUCGGGUUUUUUACUUGAAAUACGUAAGAUUUUUGAACUCUUUUAACAGCAAUUAUAAUAAAAAGUAUAUUUGUUGAUAAUAAGACACAAUAAAUCGAGUAUUAAAGUUAUUUUAUCGAGCAACAUCGUUUUGCUUUUAUACUGUUUUACUGACUGAAAAGUCAAACGUUCCAACAGCAAAGAAUUGGUUCAGUUUCAGCUAUAUUUGUGGACUCAGGCCAACGAAUCAUUAAUUAAAAGAUAAGUAUUAUAUUAUUUUACUCUUAUUUGUUAUAAACUAUUGAUUUUUGAACAAGAUCAACUUGUUUAAAUGGUGCCUGUCACUGGGCAUUCCAUUUUGUAUAAUUGUCUCGCUGUAGUGCUUUCCGUACGUGAAGAGACGCAAUGUAAAAUACUUGUCUGCUGUCCACUUUAUUAAUUUUACUUGGUGGUCGUCUUCGACCAUAUCUUCGUUUGCUCCUAGCUCGUGGUCUGCAAACACAGAUUUGUUGCCGUCCAGGAGAAAAUUAUGACAAACUUCCAGAAUCAUUUUGGUUUUUAGGUUUUUCAUGUUGUUGAUGCCGUUGCCUUUCUGGCAGACAUACAGCUUGAAGAUAUGUUCACAAUGUUCGAUUGUAGUGUAAACAGACUUUGAUGGUAUACGCAAUCCGCCGUUGUUGACAAACAAAGUAAACGCUGAAGCUGAAGAUACUUGACUGUAGGUUGAUGGUCCACAAUAGUCGUGAUCUGAUGCUUUCAUGCCUGGAGUAACCUCACCAACAAGACAUUCUUUGCAUGCUUGACAGGUGAGCUUCUUUACAAGUUUAGAGACAAUAAAUCCCCCAAUGUAAAACAAUAUAUUAGAUAUAAAAUCAGAGUGGCUGUUCUGUUGUAGUUGUUCAUACAUGAAAUUUUCUUCAGCUGUUUCCUGUGAAUUUAGGGCAUCUGGCAUGUCAGCAUUCUGAUCCUGGGUGGACAUUUCUGUAAGUGGUGAUCUAUGCUUUAUUUUGUGCAGAAUAGGAAUGAUUGUAGUAGUUUUGUUGUCUUCGAAAUCUAUGCAAUUGGCAUUCUUGGAGGCAGUUACAGCAUUUCUCAUCAACAGCUGCCGUAAAGCAUACUUUAUCUGUAAGCAGUUGGGGUUAUUGUUCCAGCCUCCCUUCGAUCGAAUACAGGAAAACAGGAGUUCGAUAUGGUCCUGCGAAAAUUUAUAGGUUAACAGGUACUUGAAGGGAUCACCAGGUUUUGAAAACAUUUGAUCAGCCAUCUCAAUCGUUGAUUUGAUAGUAGCGACAAAACCAAUUAUGAAGGUCUUUCGUCUGUGCGUUGCCAGCUGCUGUGGACUGGCUGAAUCUGUUUUGAGUUGAAGGAGGUAAUUGGCUGUGGUUCUCAAAAUUUCCUCAUACACAUUCUUGUUCGAUUGUCGUAGUGGUUGUUUGUACCCUUUUCCAAUUGGACUUCUUGAAUUUAGCAUGUCAAAAAGACGGUCGAUUGUUCUGAUAAAUUUGACAGUGCCACAGCUGUUUUGGAAUUUGGGGUUUUUCAUACCAAUGUCAAGAAAUUCUAUUGCAUCAGCCACUGAAGAGCUUAACGUCUGAGCUGCUAGCCGAACAUUCAUUUUGUGCUUUUCAAAUUUGAUGUGGUUGGGUGAUAACUUGUUGCCCAUCUUCAAUCCCUUCUGUUCUUGAAGGAUGUACAGUUGUUGAAAAUGCUCCCACUGUAUUUUUUCCCCUUCACCAUCAAUAAUUGUGCCAAGGUGUGCCAAUGCAUUUCUAGCAAGUUUCAGCAUAUGGCAUGGAUCUGCAAUAACAAAUACAUCCUCUCCUGUGGUGGGGUGUUUAAAUUUUGGAACAAUGGUGUCAUAUGUUGUGCCGAAUUGACAGCCUAGCUGCCGGAAAGUGCUUAGGUUGACUGACGUUCCAUCUGCCGUUAUAGACCAUACCUUUAACCCUGCCUCAGCUGCCAUUUCGAGUGCCAUGUUUAUCAAUUGUGCCUGGUGUGUAGAUGAGAUCUUAUCAGUAAGGAAGUUGCCAAUUGGGCAUUUCCAGUGGCUUCUAGCUCCAACCAGCAGGAAAACGUGUGCUUCCGAAGCUAACGUGUCCGGAUCAUCAAGGAUCGGUCCUCCCUGGCCAUAGUCCACAAAACCAGCAUAACAAUCCUUCUUUGGGUCCCAUAUUGUUUGUUUCCUGAUGGCCAUAGCAUCAAUAAUCAAGCAGCAAUCCUUUUUAAUAGCAUCUCUGCUGACUUCACUUGCCAAGGCAGUAAAUGCUUCCUUAAAAAAACCUGGUUCACAGUUAACAGACGAUGACCACUUCCGAAGGAGCGAUUGAUUUGGUAGUGGAAUUAUAGACCUAACAUACCGGUAUGCUUUAGGAGAAUAAAAAUAUAGUGUUAGUGCAAAUUCCUUCACUUCGUCAGAGUAUCUUCUACCUGUUGGUGUACUGCUUAAGUUGUCUUUUGCAUUUUGAAAAAUCGAUAACUGUAGGUUGUCAAAUGCUGCAUGGAGUAUACCUGCCUGUUCUGUGCUUAUGAUCAAUUUUUCUUGUAAAUGUAAAAUGAGAUCUUUCAUGCUCUGUAACUUUUUCUUAGAUCGUCUCAGUUGCUGUUGUAAACCCUUAAUUUUUUGUCUUAAUGUCUGUUGUAAUUCAGAUCUAUCUGGUUCUUCAUCCUGCUCGUCCUCGGUUAAAUUUUCAUCAUCUUGUGGUUCUUCGUUGCAUCUUGCAUAAUUAUGUUCACGUAGAAUCUUUGCUGCAGGUGACAUGGAGUCUGAUUUAUCUGGUGAUAGUGAACGUUUUCUAGGAAGCCCGAGCCGUCUCCUUUCUGUAUCAGAAAGAUCACUGCUGUUAGGUAUAUCCAAUAUUGAAAAUACUGAUGGUACUGCAUUUUUUUUUAAUCUACAGGUCUCUUCUGCAGUCGUUGGAGGAACAAUGUAAUCCAAUCGUUCAAAAUGGUUACUGCAUAUGAAGCUGUAUCGAGUAGCUCUCCACACUUGGCCAUUGUUGUUUAUUUUCAUAACUGCAUUCUCCCAUUUUUGUAGCAUGAUUGGAUCUUUUAAAGGGAACCUGUAUAUACAUGCAUUUGUAGUUAUAGUAUCAUAUUUUGAUAUAUGACAGGGAAAAGGGGUAAUUAAUUUUAUAUUUUGUAGUGUGCUUUUUAUAAUUAAAUUAACCCAGUGAGUGCCAGGGCUUUCCCCUUGACAAGUGAACUUGUCUGACGUUAGACAGAGUAAAAUAAUAAAGUAGGGCACAGUGCAACUCAAUGGGUUAUUUCACAAUUUGUUUCUCUGAGCCCUUUACAGGGCCUUGUUAGGAACUUAUGAUAUACAGUAGAACUGUUGUUAUUAAUGGGCAUUCAGGCCACUUGUGGAAGUGGUCAUUGAGUACUUACAGUUUGUAGUUUUACUGUACAUAGUUUUACUGUAAAUAUAUAUGUGUAUUGCAUGCCUGGUA